AAGAAUAAUUAGUCCACACCGUAGUAAGCUUGCACCAUCAAUGGUGGAAGCACUCAUGUGUAUGCAGGCUUGGUCUCGUGCUGACAUGUUAGGGUCUCCAACUAUGAUGGGUGUUUUGAUGACUUGUCUUGAUGAACAAGAUGAAGAGAUGGAUGAACAUGAAUCAACAAUUGUUGAUUAACCAUUUGAGAUGAUCAGAUGAACCUGCUUGUUGGAUCUAGAUGCUUGGCUGCUUGCUGUCUGUUGGAGUGUUGGGUGCUGCUAGCCUGCUACAAACUACUUGUUGAACCUGACUGUCAUGUACUCAUAUUGUGAGAGACUGCUUGCUGUAAUAUGUAUGCUACAAACUGCUUGUUGAACCUGACUGUUUGCUGUAAUAUGUAUGCUACUACAAACUGUUUGAUGCUACAAACUGUUUGCUAUUGAGUAUUGGCUGUCAUGUUGGCCUUGUUUACUUGCUAUUGACUAAAUGUAAUUAAUAUGUAUGCUGUAGUCUUUCAUCAUUUCAUGCCCUUUUUUCUGAUGAAGUAUGAAUGUAUGAUCUUGUUUGUCACUAUAUCUUGUACUGUGUUGCUGCUUGGCUGCUGGAAAUCAGCACAUUUGUUUCGGGUCUGCGGGUCCCCGACGGGUUGCGGGCCUCCACGGGUUCGGGUCCGGGUGCGUGUUUUCACCCGUAAUACAAUUCGGGUUCGGGUCGGGUCUGCAAUUCGGGUUUCGGGUGCGGGUCCGCGGACAUUGCACCCGACCCGAACCCGCCCCAUUGCCAAGCCUAGUCAAAGCACGUCGGGAGUCUGGAUACGGUUGUACGGGCAACCAAACAGGCUGUAUGUGACGCUGACACCUACAAGUGAACUUCGUCACAUGUACUGUAACUCUUGAAAUUUAAGGCUGCAACCUUCAGGGCUCCAUUGGAUCAAAUCAUUCUCUAGCCCAUUUCCUCCUGAAUCCUGGGGCGGAUGGAGUAGAAAGCAAUAUUUGCAACUGGCCAGAAACAACACAAGAAAGUCGACGCUCGGAGGCGGGCCCAGCCCCCCGGGGUUCAUGGUAUUCAUUAAAUACCCAAGUUUUUAGUGAUCUAUAAUAAUUUAUCAAUAAUGUAUUAUACAAAAUAGUGUUAGAGCACUAAUUUCUUUAAUCUUUUGAAUUUUUGAAUAUCCAAUCUCAAAUGUCUGGGCCCGCUUCUAACGACUAACGACGCUGCUAGCCAAAGUUGCUGACAUCUGAUGAGCGACCCCCGUUUGUUUUAGCUGCUUCAGCUUUUAGAGCUUUACUGAAAAGUAUAGAUGUCUAAUAAGCACGAGGCCCGCGAGCCCGACACGAAGCCCGCUGUUUAGACCCGGUUCGAGCCCGGCACGGCCCGGUACUAUGCGGGCCCGGGCCGGCCCGGCACGAAUAAGCGGGCCGGGCUU